AACGAACGCUGGCGGCAUGCCUAACACAUGCAAGUCGAACGAGACCUUCGGGUCUAGUGGCGCACGGGUGCGUAACGCGUGGGAAUCUGCCCUUGGGUUCGGAAUAACAGUUAGAAAUGACUGCUAAUACCGGAUGAUGUCUUCGGACCAAAGAUUUAUCGCCCAGGGAUGAGCCCGCGUCGGAUUAGCUUGUUGGUGAGGUAAAAGCUCACCAAGGCGACGAUCCGUAGCUGGUCUGAGAGGAUGAUCAGCCACACUGGGACUGAGACACGGCCCAGACUCCUACGGGAGGCAGCAGUGGGGAAUAUUGGACAAUGGGCGAAAGCCUGAUCCAGCAAUGCCGCGUGAGUGAUGAAGGCCUUAGGGUUGUAAAGCUCUUUUACCCGGGAUGAUAAUGACAGUACCGGGAGAAUAAGCCCCGGCUAACUCCGUGCCAGCAGCCGCCGUAAGAC
rnacentral:rRNA from 1 species